rnacentral:tRNA from 1 species
GGGCGGUUAGCUCAGGGGUAGAGCACUGCAUUCACACUGCAGGGGUCGCAGGUUCUGAAGCCUGCACCGCCCACCA